UGCUGUCUCCGCCUCCGCUGCCCUUUGAGGCGCCUCCCCGGCCCCUGUGUGCGGUGGGCGCCGCCAACCUGGGCUGCUUGCGGGGCGCGGGCGAGCCCGGAAGCCGGGACAUGGAGAUGCUGGCCAGACUCAGAUGUCCAGAAGCAGCAGGUCAGCCCCACCAGCCAGGUGCCUACCCUCUUCUGAAGAUGAGGGAGAAGUGGCUCCUAGCUGAGGCAGGGGUGUUCCAGCAGUCUACAGUGUUCCAGCUUGAGGAUUCAGAGCCCAGAUGUACCACCCCUGGGAGCUUGUGGAAAAAAUGAUUUUGGCCUCUACUGGUGUGGUAUGCUUAUGGUGCACUGUACCAACCAGACCCCAGGUGUUGAACCUACAAUCAAGACUCUGACUCUUGGCUGCUGAAGGUGCAAUGAGGUGACCCUUGAUCCUCACAUGUAAGCCAGAUGCACAAAGUGACACAUACAUCUGGAGUUCCUUUGCAAUGGCUAGAGGACCUGGUAUGUCCAUCCUCCCUCCCUCUCUUUCUUUCCCUAUGUCCCCCUCUCUUAAAUAAAUAAAUGGAGGAGUCUCUUUUCUGAACCCAGAA